AAAUGACCCACGAGAGGCAGCCAGAGGCAGUGACGGGGAAGGAGAGGAGGGGAAGAGGAACUUCUCUGCAAAGAAUCGCACUAAAGUAAGUGCAAGUAAAAAUAAAUCCACAUAUAAAACAACUGUACAAAUGUUAGCAGUAUUUUCACAGCUGGGUUUCUUUGCCUAAAAUACUUAGCACUUACUUUAGAAAACUCACUUCUAAACAUAAAUGGUCUGACUGAUCACAGAAGCUGAACCCUGAUACAACUCUGACUUUGAACUUGACUUCUGCCCAGAUGGGAAUAAAAAUAAUGACUUCUUCUAAGUAAGAACCUUAAUUGCCAUGAAUUCACACCAGACUGUGGUGGGUGACCUUUACCUCACAUAUGAGGAAAUUAAGGUAGGGCUUGGUUUAGGAAGCUAGAUUCAUAACAGUCAGCAUAUUUAUAUCCAGAUUAGGCAGGACUCUGGAUUUAAAACACUUUCCCUUGGAAAACACCGACUCUGUCUGUUUCCAUGGCACUAAAAACACCCCACUUGAAUAACUGCCCAGUUACUUAUCAUAGCAGGAUUAGUGGUCUUCUCAAGGCAUCUGCAUUCACAUUCCUGGUAUUUAUUUCCUGUAGAUAUUGGUUUCAAAGACUGAUGCCACAGGACAUGAAUAAUCACGGUGACUCACUUUUAGGGACUUUCCCCUGGGGAGUGCCACCUACAGAGCCUCAGAAUGAAGUGGGCACAUAUUAAUUAAAAUAUGUUUCAUCUCCAAAUGACUAUGACAGAAGCUAUACUGAUGAAUAUGACAACUAAAUACAAAAUAAUACCGCAAUGACUAGCAAUGAUUCAAAUAUUGUGCUCAUGAUGUUAUCUUUCAUCCAUUUAUUUAAUAAAUGGAUUUAUAUAAUGAGUGACGGGACUUCUAUGUGUCAGAGUGCUGGUUAGGACAGGCCAUGUUUCAAUAAAUUUACAACC
rnacentral:lncRNA from 1 species